rnacentral:lncRNA from 1 species
GCCAAAACUGAGACAGAUAACAUCCUAGUCCAUGCCUGUGGUCCAUGUCAGAAUUUUCUGGUUCUACCCAUCUGCCGGCCAUCUUCUCUGUCUCCGUCUCCAGAGGGGAUCCGGCUGAGCAGCGCCUGCUUUUUGACUUGGCUGAAGGAACAGACCACAGCCACUCUACCCGCCCCUCUGGGAAGACAGUCACGGCAGUUCUCUGUUCCACUGGCACUGAACUACAGUCUGGGUUCUGGAAAAUACACAUAGAGAUGCCCAGUAAUACAAUAUUGAGGAAUUGCAAGCCCUGUUCCCAUCCCCUUUCAAGAUGCAGAGGUGAGCAGAAUGGACCGCCCUUGAAAGGCCUUGCGACUGGGACGAAUGCCCACAGUGUCUGGAGAUGUGAAGCAGUGCAGAAUGUCCAGUAUUUUUUUGCUCCUGUGGGAAACCUGGUCAAAAUACAGGGCUACAUGGCUAUAGACAAAAUGGGUUGUGUAGCUUUGACAUCCCUUCCCCUUGCUGCAAUGAAACACUGAAUUUGAGCGUUUGUCUCCUCACUAAGGCACCUAGCACUGCUGUUCCCUUCAAUACAAGUUUAAAAAGUGUCGAGGCACAGUCAAAAUAAAGUUGUGAACAGA